CCUUUCACAUGGAUAUCAACAGACAAAACACUCCAACCAGGAGUUUAGCAAAAAGGCAGAAAAUGAGGGAUUUGCUUGAAACAAUCUAUAGGGAAUUUAUUUGUCUCUAGUUGGAAAUACAAUUUUUUGUGGAGGAGGUGGAUGGCGGGUAUUGCAAUUUUGAAUCUUUCAGCAAGAAAUAAAUUUCUUUUCUCCAGAAAUGAUAGUACAACCACUCUCAUAGGUCAAUCAGCUUCUGAAUUUUAUACCUUCCAAAUCAUCUGACUUCCGUGGAAUGUCCUCAGACACAUACGAAGAUACAUCUUGAGUGUUAUUAGUCCAUCUACAUGGAAGCAAGUGUCUACUGAAAAUAAACCACAGAAAGAAGACUUGUAUUGUUUUAGAUUCAUUAAAAAUGUAAAGCACACCAAUGAGACCAGGAUUGUUUCUCUUUGGAGUUUCUUUUCUCUUAAGAUCACAGCAAUCUUCUAAUUUCAUUUGAAAAAAUGAUAUGCAUGUAAGUGCUGAAGGAGUGUGUUUGAAGUGAAGUGGAAGCUCCAGUCUAGCAAUCAUACUCUUUAUAUCUGAAAUCUACGUUUGGACAUGGUGUUUGAAAGUGCUGGGAUUUGGCUCCAGUAUAAACAGAUGGAAAGCCCAAUCUCUGACAUUUACUGUUUCAUGCUUUUGAACAUUCAAAGAAUUUGGUCAGAUGGCAAUUUUUUUGAUGGAUGAGGGGAGGAAAGUAGGAAGGGAGGAAGAGAGGAAGAGAAGACUUAUCUCUACAUUUGCUAAAGGAGCAAAGCCUUGUUUCAAUGCAAAGGAAAGGUAUGCCACAGCAAAAACGUGCAAACAUCAUGUUUGCUGUGUGAUUGCGCAAAGCAAACAGUGGUGCUUUGAUGUGAGAAUGUGCUGGGCAGCAAAUUCCCACUCCAUGCUUAGCCCAUCUUGCAACCUCAAAUAUUCUUUUGGUUUUCAUUCCUUCCUCAGACUUUCUAAUUUCUGUCAUGGGAUGCCUCUGCUUUCCUUGAAGUGAAACAGCCCCCUGUCACAUUGCCUGCAUUCAGGAAGAAAGCCUUGUGCUGUGCAAAAUGGUCAUAUGCAGCAAAGAGUCUGUGGGACAGGGAUCUGGCUUACCUGCUUUGUUCCUCUUAUUUUUUUAAAUAAUGAUUUUCAAUUGACAUUCAAGGAGAAUGAGUUGUGUUCCACUCUUAUCCUUUGGUGCUCACUGAUGUCAAAGAGAAAUGUGUUCAAUAAACCGUCCUAGUAAAUAAUUUUAUUUCAUCAUUUUCGUACCAUGCAGGGCAGACAGACAAUGUGGUGCAAUGAAGCAACGCCUCACUGCUCUGGUGCCCAUAGGCAGAUCCAGCUAGUGCACCCUGCUCCUUGUCUUUGGAAAGACCUGGGGAUCCAGGGAAACCCUUGGAAGAGUACAUGGGGCUUUCGUGGCCUGAUCUGCUGUUGCCAGGUGUGGUGUAAGCUGGUGAGACCCUGUCUUGGUGCCAUGUUCAGCUCAGACUCUCUGUUCCUCAGGGUUAUGGUAACCCAGCAUACACAAGCUCAGAGGGAAGGCAGAUGUGAAGGCACUGGCACGUCUUCCCUCCUAACAACAGAAAAUGCUGAAGUGUUAGACACCGAGGAUGAAUCACCCAGAGGUGCAGCUUUCCUGCACUGACUUGUAAAAGCCAGCAACAAGCUGAAUUGGAGGCCAGCCACAAGCAGCCCAAAUGGAGGUGAGAGUAUGUUUAACUGAAGGAAGAAUAAUCUUCAGGGCAGAUGUGCUCAAUAAAGUUAAAGAAAAGACCCUUUGAGAGAAAUAUUUCAUCAAGGUGUUUCCAACACGGACUAUACAUGUUAUCCUUGCUGUGCUGUUCCUGGAAAUAAUCUGUGCUCCUCUUGCUUUAUUCAUGCAGUGGAUGCAUUUGUUCAGGAAAAAACAGUAAAAGUGUUUACUGAAAUGUUUUCUAUUUCCUAAUGGACAGUUUUAUUUUAAACUUACAGUUUAUUUAUUUAUUUUGCGAAAUGCCAUCAGUUUGAAACACUAGGAAAGACCCCUUCCUCAGACACAAGAGGGAUCUGUAGAAACUUCUGUAUAAAAAAUUGUAGCAAAAUUUUCUAAAACAGUAUUUUCAUAGUUAAGGAAAGGAUAGCAAAAACUCUAGUACUUUUUUUGUGGCCUCUGUUCACUGAAACAGAUAACAGGCAAAUAAAAGGGAUACAUCUCAUUGAACUUCAACUGUCUGGAGUUAUGUCCCUGAUCCUAACUUAUUUAGUUUCUAGGAUCCUUUUGUGAUGCCUUGACUGAUCUCAGACUUUUAAAAACGUUCCUAGAUAAAUAGAAAUAUAUUAUUCUUAGGCAUCCAAACCCAAUGACUGUGUUUUCAAAAUGCAGCUGAGUGCUGAAUUACACACUAGCCUGGGUAUUUAUUCCCUGCAAAGAAUGUAUGUUGUAUGUUGGACUCUGAUGACCAAAUUUCCAAAUGGAAACUGGAAAAUGACUAUGUAAUCAAUCAGGUUUUGGAGGCUGAAGGAACUCAGGGAAAAGCUGAUGGAAAGAUUAACACUAAUAUAUAUCAUCUAUUUGUCCUUCCACCUAUAUUAAAUUUUCAUAAUUGGUCAGAUAUUGGUAAACAGCAAGAAGGUAGAUGACCCUUCUGAAAAAGAACACAUGAAACUUAAGAGAAACACAAUCUUAGCAAUUCGUUUUGAUGUUAAGAUGUUUGUCUGUCCGUUAUUUUAUUUCACUAGAACUAACAUAAGGGGAGUUUCUCCAAAUCAUACUGCUAAGUUUAGUGAACUUUAAAGCAGGGUUACUUUAUGCAAAAAUUAAUUCUACUUGUUUGUUCUAUCUGGCUGUUUUACAAGUGCUUUGCCCUACGGACUCACUUUGUUUGUACUAGUUUCCGAGAUUUAUUUAGAGACUGAUUUUUUGUGUUCCUGACUCACACAAAAUUGAAGAAACAACAAACUAGUUUUAACAGAGUUUGUAAGAAUUUUGCUAAUGUGAAGAAUAAAGACUGUUCUGUUAACCUGAUUGCGAAACUGAUUGGAGGACUUCUCCAUUCUGUUUUAGUUGGCCCGAGAAAAUAGCAAGCUAUGCACAACAGAUGAUAUAAAGUUUGAGAUUAAACUCUAUUUGCCUGAUUGG